GCGCGCCCGGAGGAUGGCCGGCUGCGGGCUGUCGGAGGACGCCUUCUUCUCGUCCUUCUUCUGCAGCUACACCUCCUCCUGGGAAGCCUCCUACAACCAGCAGCUCUUCCUGUUCAGUGGGACGUAGCUAUGAUGUUGAUCAGAGGGUGAAGUAGAUAGAACAGGUAUGGUAUUAACAGGUGGUUGGGUGCUAUCUGAAUUGGAGGAACUUGGAAGAAACUAUCCAUUUCUGUGAAACUUACUCCUUCAGUAAGGAACAUAAGGAAGACCACAAAGGCUUAUUUUAAAGCUUGUGGUGGCCCAGGAUAGUGUUUUAGCUGAAAACCUUCACCUGUAUAUUCUGAUUUCCAGCUACCUGGGACUUCCUUAGACGCAGGUUUUUAAAUUAAACAGUUCCACAUGCUGUAUGUGUCCCCAUGCUCCCCAUGUAUUUGUCCAAUUGAUAUUUUAAACCCGUGAACACUUCGGGUGUAGACCUCCACUUCUGGAGUGGGUGUCCCAGCUUCACUACAUGUUGUAGGAAAAAAUAAAACUGCUUCUGAGUCUUCCA
rnacentral:lncRNA from 1 species